UACGUAGGGUGCAAGCGUUAAUCGGAAUUACUGGGCGUAAAGCGUGCGCAGGCGGUUGUGCAAGACAGAUGUGAAAUCCCCGGGCUCAACCUGGGAAUUGCAUUUGUGACUGCACGGCUAGAGUGUGUCAGAGGGGGGUAGAAUUCCACGUGUAGCAGUGAAAUGCGUAGAUAUGCGGAGGAACACCGAUGGCGAAGGCAAUCCCCUGGACCUGUACUGACGCUCAUGCACGAAAGCGUGGGGAGCAAACAGG
rnacentral:rRNA from 1 species